AUGAUUUCAUUGGUUUUGCUGGACGACUGUUCUGAAUAAGCUAAUUCGGUUUCUUCAACAAGGUUCUGGAAAUUCGGAUGGCUAUGUUCUUAAAAUAUCGUAAGGCCUAGUAUCAGUUCUCAAUCCCAUGGGGGAAUCUUUGCUGCUGCU